AAGUGAAGAAAGUCUUUUGAGAAGGAGGAAAUGAACCACUGUGUGAAAUACUGCUGACAUAUUGAGCAAGAUGGGGACUAAGACGUGACCCAGAUUUAGCAACAUGGGAGCCAUUGCGGACCUGGAUAAAAACAGACCUGGAUAAAAACAGUCUGAGGAGCGGUGAGGAUGAAAGCCUGUAAGAAAUACUAUUUAUACGGCUCUAAUGGAUCCACUAACACGCUGCAGAAUGAGCUCCAGACGACAUUAGAAUGGGAAUGAAACGCAGACCUCUGUCACCCAACUCCAGGCAAGCUUCACAUGGAACAGACACACACAAGAGACUGAGAUAGAAACAACUAGAAAGCUGCUAAUUGGCACUUAACACUUGUAUAUUUCUGCUCUUUCCUUGGUCCGGGAAAGUAUCCUGGCAAGUCUAUCUGGCCCAACAAGCUGAGAGUGGGUGGUAUGGAUCAAUUAAGGUUAUAAAACCACAGAAAGAAGAGUCCCUCAUCAGAGAGUGGUGCUUCACAAUAGAUGAAAAAGCAAAGAAAGAUGUAAUCAGCUUACAGGGGCCUGGGUUUCUCUUCCUGGCUCUUAGAAGAAGGAAUCCAGCUUUCUUCUGGCUAUUUCCUGAGGAGAGCGCGCCUCCCUCCCUCAAGUAUUCAGGCUAAUUACCACUGGUGAGGUAGUUUCCAGGCUGAAUGAGAAAUCAAAAGGGAAGGGGAGGGGAAGUGGUGUGGAUUUCAGAGAAAAAAUAACUUAAGAAAAAGUAUGUUCUCAGAGGGGGGAAAAUGAGAGAAUCAGGUCACUGAGCUGGAGCCAGGAAAAAUCCACAGGAGUGGAAAUUGGAGCGAUGAAAGCAUUUCAUAUUAACACAUCCAAAGCCUGAAUGGGCCCGGCCCAGAGGAUGUCUUCCCCCUCCUGGAAAGCGGCUGGGGGGCUGAAAGACCUCUAGGCUUUUCUCUGUCAAAUUCAUUCACUAAUCAGCGCUAUUCAGCCAAUCGCCCAUGUGGUCUUCUGCGCGGUGCCCUGCAAAGCGCCAGGACCACAUAGCAACGAUUAUAAUCAAAACCACUGGAGACUCUUAUGUCAGCUUCUGAAAUACGACGCUUCAAAGGCAGACAUGCCUCCAAUGAAAACCAGCACUUUCUUUCUCUUGCUUUCUUUCUGCCAAGUCUACAGUUUUAGAUUCAAGCACUUGAUAAUUAUAUAUCAAUAGAGACAGAAUGCAUUUUGCCUAAAGCAAAGACAUAAAUGGUUUUAAGGGCAGGCACAGUGUCACAUGUCAGUAGACAUUAGCUGAGGUUAAACUCUGCUGAUGUGACUAGAAUAUUGACAUCUCUGUUAGAGUCAAUAUCUCGAAAUUGACGGUGUGGCUUGGCAUACCUAUUUCCUUAAUGAUUUUCCAGUGUAAUACAAACAUAUCUAACAGCACUCCACACAUCUCAGGGGCUUACACUCCUGCCUCUCCUGUGUUCAUCAGACUGCCAAAGCUUUUUGUUAUCCAAACUUCAGCUGAAAGUGGGAUAUGAGGCACAAAGUACAAUCCUGAAAAUAUUGGCCAAAAAAAUAUGUUUCCCUCUCUCUCCCUACCUAGCUAUGUACCUACCUCUCUAUCUUCUAUCUUGUUUGUAUGGCUAAUUAUGCUGCACCUCAGGUAAUACUGGGCCUGAAUUUGGGGAUAAGGCUCUAAUGAUCCACGAACACACCCACACCGUCAACGUAGCAUGAACUGCAGACCUUAGUCACCCAACUCCAGGCAAGUUUCCUUGAGUACAGACACCCAGAAAAGACUGAGAGACAAAAACACAGAAAAACAUGACUUUGCUCAGCAAGAAAACCCAAGAGAAAUGUGCUUCUGUCCUCUGGUUUACGCAUUGAUCUCUGAUUUCCUGGUUCUCUACCUGCCCUGCUGCAGCUAGCCUCACCUCACGUGGCAAGUUGUUGAUGACUAAGGCGGAGGUUUUGUUUUAUUUUGUUUAUCUGGAUAAUUCCAGAUGUUAAUGACUUCCAAAACGCUUAUCCCUCUGUUUCUGCUCGGUUUGACUUUCUAAGUCCAUGCAUCCACUUAUGAUGCUACCUAGACCAUGAUUCUGAACUCUAGUUCUAUAGGAGAGUCUGACAGAGAGUUUUAAAAAUAUACUCAUCCCCAAGCAGUUGAAAUAGGUUACCUGGAAUAGGCUAACCAGUAUCCUUUAAUUAAAAAAAAUGGCAAAACUCUUGCCUAAACUACGUUCGGUUAUCUAUUGCUGUAUAAUAAACAACAUCCCUCAGGGCU
ensembl:lncRNA